AGUUCAGAUUGCAGGCUGCAACCCGCCUGCAUGAAGUCGGAAUUGCUAGUAAUCGCGGAUCAGCAUGCCGCGGUGAAUACGUUCCCGGGCCUUGUACACACCGCCCGUCACACCAUGGGAACCGGUAAUACCCGAAGUCAGUAGUCCAACCUCGUGAGGACGCUGCCGAAGGUAGGAUUGGCGACUGGGGUGAAGUCGUAACAAGGUACC
rnacentral:rRNA from 1 species